CUUUGAAAAACCAACUCUUUGUCUCUCCACACAUUGGAUUCAUUUUAAUGGUUUAGGAACGCAAUACCCUUUCUCUUUCUCUAUUUUGUUCCAAAAACCCUAAAUCAAACACAAAAUCUCCUUCUUUAUGGUGCUCAAGCAACCCUAAAUCAAAGCAAAAAAAAGUGUGAAAUUGAUAUUUAUAUUGUGUGCACGAAAGCGGGAAGUCGAACACGAUUGUGGUGUGGUAAAAUUUGAAAAAUUUGAUUCAAUGGGAAGCGAAGAGUACUCUUUGCUGAAGGAUUCAACAAUCGAAAUUGAAGCAAAGGACGAAACUUUCUCUCUUUGCUUUUGGCUUUAUUUCACGACUUCCUCUGCAUUCCCCUCUACCAUUAUUCAGCAGAUGUCCCUAUACCCUCUCAAAUUGACGUUAAACAUUGAAGAAAGGGAAUCCAAUGAGUCCAGACGUUACUGGCUGGGCAAUACCUGCUAGUGGUAGUUGAGGCAGUGAGAAACACCGAGAGAGGGAGCGGUGGUAUAUCAGAGAGGAGAUGUUAGAAUUGGGAGACAAAGAUGGAAAGGGAAAGUAGGAUUUUUGGAGUAAGGGAAGAAAUCAAAAAAGUGUCGGUAUUUGCAGGUGUUUCCAAUUGAUGAGCUAGUACGUAUAUCACUACAAGUUGUUACCAACAAGCCUCCAACACAUUUCGUUGAUGACAUCUUUAGCAAAUUCAUUCCACCAGUUGACAACAACAACAAACCUGAAGACAGUGGAUCAAACAAGAAUAUUAAAUAUUGAAAAAUUUUAGGACUUCAUUAAUUUCUUGUUUUGUAUUUCAGAUUUAUCUUUAUUGUCAGUGUGGAAUAUUGUCUAUCUUUACAUAGAUGUGUUUUGUAGUAAAAUUUGUUAAGUACUAAAGUCAACUUCAUAGAUUAGUUGUUGCAUUAAGUGGUUAUGUAAUGUAUGUUAUGUUCUAAGUUUUAUAUCAUGUUGUUUUCAUAUAAAAAAA